rnacentral:lncRNA from 1 species
CGGCUUCUGUCAUUAGUUGUACUACUAGGGGUGGAGUGGCUCUGGGCCUUGUACCCCUGGGAACCCAGGCCCCUGGGAUUAGAGAGGGGAACCCAGAGCGAGCGGCCAGGAAAGGGAAGCGGAAGUUCCAGGGUGUAGAAGGUGUAAAAGCGCUCCUGGGACUCCAUCUGGUCAUGAAACCCCCCUCUUUGUUUCCUCUGCUGUCCUCACUGUAGACUUAAAGGUAAGCUCUGCGCACAACCCCAGAAAGGAAGAGGAAGUGAAAGCUGAAAGAAAGCUGGGAGGCUUGUGCAAACCUCAGGGCUUCUUGCAACAGCCUCACUUCUGCCCGGGCGCACAAGGCCCCGACUCAGCAGUGAGAGGCCCAGGGGGGCUGGGGCGGCAGGACAGGGUGCGGGGAGUGGGACCAGGGGAAGUGCGUGAGUCUCUUCCUUAUUGGAUUCUCUCUCUGUCUCAGCUUCCGCUUUUCUUUGUGGACAGAUUUGCUGACGCCUGACACCAGGAGUCAGAGUGGCUGGGUCACCAACCCCCAACCACACAGGGUCUGAUGCUCACUACUGUGUCUAACCCCUUCUUCUUCUUCUUUAUUUUUAAUUUUAUUUAUUUAUUUUUUGAGACAAGGUUUUGCUAUGUUGCCCAGGCUGGCCGCAAAACUCCUAGGCACGAGUGAUCCUCCUGCCUCAGCCUCCUGAGUAGCUGGGAUACAGGUGUCCACCACCUCGCCCCACUCAGCCCCAUGCUUUUUUUUGGUUCUGGGUAUUGAGCCCAGGGUGCUCAACCAGUGAGCCUGAGCCCCAGCCCUUUCUAUUUUUUGAGAUAGGGCCUCGCUAAGUUGCUGAGGCUGCCCUUGAACUUACGAUCCUCCUGCCUCAGUCUCCUGAGCCACUGGGUUUACAGGCACUUACCACCAUGCCCAGCUCAGCCCCAUGCUUUUUAAAAGAUAAGAAAACAGGCCCAGGCUGGGGAAGAGGCUGCUCCGAGGUCCACAGGGGGAUGGUGGUGAAGCAUGGACUGGAAGCAAGGGCUGUGGCCCAGAAGCGCCCCUCAGCCCUGCGGCUGGCAAGACCAAGUUCCCAUGCCUCAGCCUGCUACCCCAGGCUGUCCCCAGUCAGGCUCUGUGGUCCCUCUGCACCUCACACACUGAUACUCCCUGCUGCGGGCCUCUGCACGGGCUGACUCCUUGGACAGGAUGACACUUCUUCCCUUGCUCUGGGUGAAUUUUCCUACCCCUUUGGGGUUUAGUGCAGGCACUGCCUCUCCAGGAAGUGGGGGCAAGUCAGGGCCCUCUUCCCCAGACUGAGAGCAUGACUGUGAAAGUUAAAAUAUUUUUUGCUGCUGGGAAUGGAAUCCAGGGCCUUGCACAUAUUGGGCAAGAACUCUACCGCUUAGCUACAUCCCCAGCCUGUAAUGGUUAAUUCUAUGUGGCUAAGCUGUGGUGCUCGGUUGUUUGGUCAAAUUCAUCUAGAUGUUGCCAUAAGGAUUGGGGGUUUUUAGCACAGUGGUAGAAUGAUUGCCUAGCAUGGGCAAGGCCCUGGGUUCAUCCUCAGCACUGGAAAGAAAAAAAAAAAAAAAGACCAGGUAGAUGUUGUUGUAAAAGUAUUUUGUAGAUGUGAUUAACAUCUACUUUAUAAAGUAAAGCAGUAACCUCCCAUAAUGUGGGUGGGCCUCAUCCAAUCAGUUGAAGGGAAGGCCUUAGGAUAAAAAAAAAUUGCUGUUUCCCAGAGAAGUAUUUCUGCCUCAAGACUAACAUACAAAUACUGCCUGAGUUUCCAGCCUGCUGGCCUGCUCUACAGAUUUUGGACUUGCCAGCCCCCACAAUUGCAUGAGCCAAGUUCUUAAAAUAAUUUUUUCUGUAUACACACUCUCACACACUACUGGCUCUAUUUCUCUGGAGAGUGCUGACUGGUACAAUCAUGUUGAUUCAAAAUCAUAUCUGUUCACAGGUCCUCUCCACAAUGCAGACAGUGACCACAGGGGCACAGAGAAGGUCUAGCAAGGGAAUGCUGAGAGAAAGAAACCAGAGUGGGGAAGAGGAAAGGGAUGGAGGAAGCUGUCAGUCACCAAAGGACCAAGAGUGAAUGAAUGAAUGAAUGAGACCUAGAGGGCCCCCUCCAUGCUAAGUGGUGUGCUGCCUCUGAUCUGAAGUCACUUCAGAAGCCAGGGGCCCUGGAUCCUCCCACCUGACAGUCCAUGCACCUGAGUAGACAUGUCAUUUUCUUUACUGUAAAGGAGGGACCCCUGGCUCUCCCAUGGCAGGACAGUGGUCUCACUGAAGACCCUUUGCCUGAGCUACCGUGGCAGCGUACCCUCAAGGCUGGUCUUGGAAUCUUCACCACACGGCUGGAAGGAGCUUUGGGGACCCUCUUGUCCAAUGUGGUCGUUUUAAAGACAUGGAAACAGAGGCCCCAAAGCCACAUUCCCAGCAUAGGAACUCUUGACCCUAGCACAUUUAUUUUAUUCCAUCUGUGCCAAACAUGGCGGCCCUGUCCCACUCGGCCUCCCCGGCCAGGGUGUUCACCUUCUGUGAUCUGGGGGCUCUGAGCGGGGCCUGGUGGCAGGUGGGGAGUGAGGGUCCCCGCCAUUCAGCCCUCCUGGAGGAAGUAUCUUGGGCUCUCAGGAGUUUCACCGCAUAGCUGCGCCUUGCCCCUACCUGCUAAAGCAGUCCCCCAGGGAGAGAGGAGGGAGAAAGCACCAUCCCACCCUGUCCCUGAUGACGCCGCCACCACUUUCCAUCAGGCUUGCAGUCAAGGCUAAACACUCCACCAAGGACCUAUGCAAACUUGCUUGGCUGAUCCCCGCCCUCAUGGCCACUUCACAGCGAGCUGCUUGCCCCCUGCCCUUCAUGCUCCAGCCAUGAGAGCUUCGUUUAUUUCUUUUAACAUUCCUUGCCUGCCUGGGGCCUUUGCACAUGCUUGGAAUGCUCUUCCUCCUUCCUCAUCCUUGUGCUUUCAACUCGGGUAUCACAACAGGUCCCCCAAGUUCUCGGUAGCUUCAGGUUUAAUAUUUUCUUUUCUUGGAUGUCAUGAUUUUUUAAUGAUUGGUUUACUGAUUUGUUGGUACAACUACUUGCUUAAUAUCUGGCAUUCCAGUGAGAGGAUGGCUCCCCAAGGGUAGAGGCCCUGUCUAUUUUGCUCACCUCUGCAUCCCUAGCAGGGUACACAUAGAGACUGAAAUGCUGCCCUUUUGAGAAUACCCAUACUCAAGGGCAAAGGAAAAAAAAAAAAGAGGCCCCUUGCUGAGCCCAGCUUUGGAAAGCAGCCAGAUGGAAAUCAUCCGGUCUGGACUUCCUUUCCCUGAGCUUCAGGCUGGGUUCCUGUUUCCAGGGGGAGGACAGCAGGCCUUGUGUUUCUGCAAGUCUCCUAGCCCCUUCUCCAAUUCCAGAAGCAAUAAGCAUGUCUGUCUCCCAAACGAGGACGCUAUCCCGGACCCAAGAAUCACCAGCUUAAAAAUGCAACAGGGAAAAAAUGAACAAAACUUUGGUUCACAAGUUCAAGGGACAGAGAUAAGAAUCACAAACGAAGGAACAACAUGAACAUCUUUGGGGCCUGGUUCAGGCCCUGUGAGGAGCACAUGAUAUUUCUAGUCCUCUGAGCAGUCCCUUGGGGGUGGGAAGCAUCACUGCCAUCUUACAGAUGUGAAACCUGACGCAGUCCCCAGAAGCAGGGUGGGCAGGGCCCCCACCGGGUCUGCCCAGGGCCAAGGCCCAGUGCUCUCCCCUGCACCAGCUCUUGGUGGGCAUGGACUUUCUGGGUCACGUCUUCCUCCUCUGUCAAGCUCAGUGCAGACCCAGGAGAUCUCCAUGGCUUCCCUUCCUCCUCACCAAGCUCAUCGCGGGUCCCUCCCUCGCUGAGCCCUCCGCCUUCUCCAUCCUGUCUUCCUCUCCCUCCAUUCCUCCCCUCUUCCGUUUCCGUGGCAACCCCAUCCUCCGCUCUGCCACUCGGUCCUGCGUUCCCAUCUCAUCUCUUUCUUUCCUCUUUCAUCUCUCCCCUCUUCGCAGUGCAGAGUCCAAAUCACCCUGUGUCCUUUGCUUCUGGCCUCUAGCUGCCUUUUACUCUCCUUUUAUCUCCUUCAAUGUUCUCUUGUCGUCUCAGGGCGACAUUUAUUUAUCUCUUAAAAAUAAAAAUGAAAAAAGAAAGGAAGGGUAAAGAAACCCCAUUCCAUCAGCCCUGGCUCCCCCACUUCAGUCCCCAUCUCCUUUCUCUUGAGUCUUCUCUAAGGGUCAGAGUUUCCACAGUUACAGAGAGGAAGGAGCUCGCAGAAGGGACCCCCUGCCUGCCUCAAUGAGGGCUCCUUAUUGACCUCACCUGUGAAGGCAGAGAGCAUGCGGGCAGGAGGCUGGGCAGGGGAAGGCUCACUGGGGAGGCACCCUAGGGAGUGGCUCUGCUUCCUAGAGAUGGGGUGAGGGCAGAAGCCAGAGUCCCCUCUCAGGACAGAGCAAGGACAGAACCUACAGCAUGGUGUAAGCCAGUCCUGGAAGCCCCCCAUGACGCUGCCUGAGGCAGGAACUCACUGCCAUCCAGGGAAACCCCAACUACACAACUGUCUCAUGGCACCUCUUUGAGGCCCAUCUUGCUUUGUGGGACUGAGACACAGGGCAUGGCCCCAGGCAAGGCUCUCAGCAAAUCCUCAGAGUCCCCCCAGUUCCCAGAGUGGUGGGAAUCAUCAAUUCUUCAAAAUCCACUCUUCAGGCCGCGCAUGGUGGUGCCCGCCUGUAAUUCCAGCAGCUUGGGAGGCUGAGGCAGGAGGAUUGAAAGUUCAAAGCCAGCCCUAGCAACAGCGAGGCCCUAAGCAACUCAGUGAGACACUGUCUCUGAAUUUUUUUUUUUUUUAAAGAAGGGGGCUGGGCGUGUGGCUCAGUGGUUAAGUAAGUGGUUCAAUCCCUGGUACCAAACAACAACAGAAACCUCUCUUUAGGAUUGGGGAUGUAGCUCAGUGGUAGAGCAUUUGCCUAGCACAUGUGAACCCUGGAUUUAAUUCCCAGAAGUGGGAGAUUAAAAAAAUGGUCCUCAAUUGCCUCUGAAAAAAGGAAGCGCUCACGCACCCAUAAGCUCUAAUAGCCACCUCUCUGUGCCCCCUUAGCUUAAGGCAGCAUUAAGGGUUGCCGGCUCUUUAUAGUUAUUUUCAGCCUUCAUUUACUGAGCUCCAGCUAUGGACCAGGCACAUGAUAUAGGCUGUCUCGAGAAAAUGGACAUUUUUAUUUUCAUUUUACAGAUGAGCAAACUGAGGCUUGCUGAAGUUAUUAUUUCUCUAAGUCAUACAGCCCGUAAGAGAGACAGGUGAGAUCUGAGCCCAUGACCAUCAUGUUCUUCUUGGUUGAUGCCAUUCCCCCCCACCCACUUCCCUGGGAGGAGUCAGGUCACAUCAACCCCUUGCCCAGGCUCCCGCUGGCUUCUCCAUUGCUCUGUUUAAUCUGGACUGAUCAGAAAUGACAGGAGAAACAAAGGUCCGGGAACAGAUUUACUGCAGAAAAUAAAGCCAGCCGAUUAUGGCUGUGGCCUCAGCAUCUUGAAGUGACAGAGAGAAUAGAUGGGCUGGUGGAAAACGGUAUCAAGUCCCCUAGGAAACGUAAGUCACAUGGAGAAGAAGAAAGGGCCCUGGAUCUUCAGGAGCCCCAUGGGCUGUGUGAGCAUCCAGCUGUGGCUGGAAAUGUCACUGUGCCAGGGAGGAGGCCAUGGCAUCCGUGGUCCCUAAGUCCUGGACUCCAAGGGCCCAGCUGGAGUAGCGGCCUAGCCUGUCCCAUCGAUGCAGCUGGCAAGGCUCUGCCCCAGGAUGCAGCAGGGUCCAGGACCCAUAGAGGUGCCAAUGACAUGAUAGCUCCAUUGUUCCCCUAAAAGGCUGGCCCAGCACCUCAGGGACCCCAGGGUCAGUGCUCAGUGAGAAAGACAGGAAGCAGCCAAGGGAAGGUGAUAGGGCAGGAAGCCAGGAAGGACUGCUCCUCAAUCUGCAUAUGAACACAGGGAAAGGAUGGUGGCUCUUAGCCCAGCAGGCCUGCCUGUCCUCCCUCCCAGCUGCUGUCACUCUGAGCUGUGCAUCCUUGGGUAAGUUCCUCAACCUCCCUGGGCUUUGUUUUCCUUGUUUGUAAAGGGGGACAAUAGUAGGAAAAAGGUCUAUCACAUAUUGAGCCAGGCCUUUAGGCCAGGUGUACAUCUGAGGAUGUCGUGUAUAUAGACAGAACAUGGCAUCUUGACAACAUUUUUCAGAGGAGGAAACUGAGGCACAGAGGAGAAUGACUUGCAUGAGACCAACAGAUAGGCUGGAGAAUAAGUGGAGGCAGGUCUAACUCCAAGGCCUGUGCUUUUAUAAUAAAGGAAUUAAGGGAAAUAAUGGGUUUGUAAACAAGGCUGGCCUAGAGUAAGGUCUAAGUUAAUGGGAGCUAUUGCUGCUGCUGCUAUUAUUAAUACUAUUAUUCAUAUCAUUGUCCAUUCUCAGAGCCAGGCAGGUGCUGUGUGUUGGUGGGGCACAAAGAUUGCCAGUCUCAGGGACUUUACAAUUUGUUUGGAGAUAAGAUUAAGACCCAUAAAACAUCUAAGCAUGGUGGCUCACACCUAUAAUCCAAGCAAUUUGGGAGACUGAGGCAGGGGAAUUGCAAGUUCAAAGCCAGCCUCAGCAACUUAGUGAGACCCUAAGCAAUUUAGUGAGACUCGGUCUCAAAAUAAAAAAUAAAAAGGGUUAGGGAUGUGUUCAGUGGUUAAACAACCCUGGGUUCAAUCCCUGGCUCCCCAAACAAAAAAAGAACCCAAAAACAGAAGUGCAAAAUAUCAGAGAGGAAAUAAUCACGAAAGGACAAAAUAACUUUGUUGUUUUUUUUUUAAACUUAAGGAAUCAGGAAUGUUCAUCCAGGAAAAAAAACCCCAGCACUUUGAGAGGCUGAGCACAGGCUGCAGAAUGAGACUGCGAUCUGGCCCCAUUUACCCCACGCUGGUUAGUGUGGGCCUCAGUCACCUUAUCUGAGGCAUGGGAUAAUGGUACUCAGUUCCAGACCUGUUGGGAGGUUGAACUGAGCCCAUUAGCAAAUUAAGAAUGAUCUGUGGUGCCCAUUCCAUGAAGAUCGGACAGAGGGACUUGAGGAGGUCUAGCAACAGAAGGUUAGGAAGUGCCCACUCCCCAACAGAUCCAGCAGUGACGAGGACCAGUCCAGGAGGCACGGGAUAGAGAAGAGAAGGUAAAGAGGACAGAAGAGCGGCCAUGAGGUGGUGCAUACCUGGGGAGGUUGAGGCAGGAGGAUUACAAGUUUGAGGCCAGCAUCAGCAACUUAACAAGACCCUGUCUCAAAUAAAAAUUAAGAAGGGCUGAAGUCUAGUUCCGUGGCAGAGCACCCCUGGAUUCAAUCUCCUGUACCACACACACACACACACACCCACACACAAGGCAAAAGAGCAGUGGACGGAGAAGGUGCUGAGGAUGGAGGAGAAGGCAAGGAGUGUGGCCUGGCACACAGUCCUCUCUUUUCUCCCAGCUACCAGUGUGACUCAUCCUGGAGCUCCAUCCCCACAGAGCCCCUGACAGCGCUGCCUUCCAAAGCCUGUGCUGUAAUCAACAUUUAUUUUGCAGUCACCCACACACCCAACUUGAGUCCGGAUUUAUGCCAAGAGAGGAGUAAAGAAUGUCUUUCUCAUUCACGUAAUGCCUCCAUGGAUCUCUGGGGGGAGGGACAGCUGGUGCAACACUGUGGCUGAUAGUGUACACAUGCAGACGUCAGCCACACGCGGCCAUCCACACAGGCUAUAAUCAGUGGCUGGCAGGAGCAACUUCCUUGGUCACCUAGAAGAUGGCACUUUCACGCAGUAAGCAGAGGGGGUAGGACCCAUGCAAGGGAUGGAAGCACAUGUACCUGCACUUGACCCUGAAAUCUAGCUGGGGAAGGAACAUGCAUGCAUGAGAGAAGAGGUUCAUGGAAGUCAGGAGGAGGAGGGACAUGGAGCCAUAUUAAGGGGCAUCCUUGCCAGGUGCUGCUGGGUCUGCACCUUACCAGGAGUGAAAAAAGGAGGCGGCAAAGGGAGUCUGUCUUCGGGGGGGCUGGAGGAGAGUAGGGCAAGGGUGCCUGGAAAGGACUCUAGCAGGUCCCUGAAGGGCAGGUCUGUGUACCUCAGAGGGGAAGUGCCCAAGGUGGCCAGCUCAUUCCAGAGUGGGAACUGGUUUCUUCCUCAAUCUGGAUCACAAAGGAUGACGCUUAGGAGCACGAGGGUGGUGCAGGAUGAUGGGUAAUGGGCCACGUGCUGUCACCAGAUGCUGAAAUUCAAAUGUGCAACCAUGUCCUAAAUGCCAAAAUGAUUUUAGCAGAGGUGACUAGUACCAAACAAAUGUCUGGCCUUCCCUACGCUGGGUGUGAAGGUUUCCUUGUGGCUUUCCCUAUUGUGGGGUCACAGCGUUUUCAGGGCAACCCAUGGGAUAUGGGGUGGAAGCUCCUGGCUCAGGGCAACUGGGGGCUCUAGAGUCAGCUUGGCGCUUCCUGGCUGUGCAAUCUUGGGCAAAAUCCUUCAUCUCUCAGAGCCUCCGUUUUCUCAACCAUAAAAUAGGGAGAGCAGCUGCUUCUCCCACAGGAUGGUGGGAAGAUUAAAUAAGAUAAUGCAAAUGAAUGGCCUGCGAGUUGGCGUUUGAGAAAUGGCCACUCCUAGCUUUUACCAUCACAAUAUAUGUACAACAUACAAUAUGAAUCACCUAGGGACCCAAAUAUUAGCAUAUUCUUAUCCCCCCCCCCCCAGUCACACUGGGGAUUGAACCCAGGGGAGCUCUACCCUUAGAACCACACCUCCAGCCCUUUUUAUUUUUCAUUUUGAGACAGGGUCUUGCUAAGUUGCUGAGGCUGGCCUCAAACCUGCCAUCCUCCUGCCUCAGCCUCAUAAGUCCGUGGGAUUCAAGGUGUGUGCCACCAUGCCUGGCUUUGGCAUACUAUACUCAUAAGAUCACUGAAAAGAUCUAAAUUUCAUGGUAAGAAGAUAAACAUGUGGAAAAAGUAACCAAACCAAAUACAAGGAAGGACAGAGAUGGUGGAAACAAACUCCAGCUCACAAAAGGUUCAAGCUCCAGUUCUGGGCCCACAAGGGAGGUUGCCAGGGGACUGAUGGUCCCCUAAAUAGUGCCUAUGAGACCCCUUUGCCCCCUGGGAAAGAUGGGAAGGCACAGGUGCUGUCUCUUUUCUGAAAUUUCACAACUCUUCCAGGCUCAAAGCUCAAAAGGCCACAUUCCUACACGAAUUAUGAAAUACAACUCUCCUCACCAGAGUGGAUGUCUUUCCGGGAUCACUGGGUCUCAGUCUUACUGCCAGCUAGGAUCACCUGCCCCUCUGCAAACACAGCCCAGACAGGUCACAGGACAAAGGGCAGGGUCCAAGAGGAGACCCACACCCCUGUGCUGGCCCUGACUCUGGAAAACAAAAAGCCCAGGAAGUUUCUUGUGUGAAAAAUCACCCACACUCAACUUGUGAACAGGCAGGAGCAAGGACAGGCUGGGCAGUGUCCUGCGUAAAAGCACUCAGAGCCCUGGCUCUGGCUCUGGUUUGGUUGGUGGACUUCCUCCUCCCAGGAUCCCCAGCUCUGGAUGCCAAACUGCAGGAGGAAACACAAGUUCUUCUGGAACUGACAGCCAGGUCGAGCAGGGGAAUAAGCACACCUACUCACCCAGGCACAGCCCUCUACAGCUUACAAAGCCAUUCCCAGACAUGAUGUCACUGAAUUCUCCCUAUCAGGUUCUGCACCAGCCCCUACAAAUGAGCAAAGCAUAGGUGGGCUCUCUUUUUUUUUUUUCUUUUUGGUACCUGGGAUUGAACCCAGGGGUGCUUAACUGCUGAGCCACAUCCCCAAGCCCCCCUUUAUUAAAUAUUUUAUUUAGAGACAGGGUCUUGCUAAGUUGCUCAGCGCCUUUCCAAGUUGUUGAGGCUGGUUUGAAGUCAUGAUCCUCCUGCCUCAGCCUCCCAGGCUGCUAGGAUUGUAGGAGUGUGCCACUGUGAUCAGUGGUUCUUUUUAUUUGUAAUUUUUUUGGUACUGGGGAUUGAACCCAGGGGCAAUUAACCAUGAGCCACAUCUGUAGCCCUUUAUAUUUUGAGACACGGUCUUGCUAAGUUGCUCUGGGCCUCUCCAAGUUGCUGAGGCUGGCUUUGAACUUGUGAUCCUCCUGCCUCAGCCUCCUGAGCCGCUGGGAUUACAGUUGUAUGCCACCAUGCUCAGCCCUGUGUGGGUGCUUAUCCCUGAUGGCAAAAUCCUGAUGCUAGUGGCAGCCGGCUGGCUGGCUGCCCUGAGUUACAGUGCCAGCCUGGGCCAGCUCUAAGUGCAUUCUCUCAAUCUAGACGGUGUUCUGUGGUUGGUAUUAGCAACAUCACCCUGUUUUACAACUGUGCAAACUGGGGCGUGGAAAGGUUAAGAGCUGCUUUAAGAACAUCGCUCCAUCUAAGCAUGGUUCUUGAGCGCUUGGUGACUGCUUCCAGAAAUGAGGGCCGCCUUUAAAAUCUUUUUUUUUUUUUUUUUUAGCUGGUCUCAAACUCCUGGCUCAAGUGAUCCUCCUGCCUCAGCCUCCCCUACUCGGUAGCUGGGAUCAUAGGCACAGACCACUGUGCCCGCUUUAGAAUCUUAAAGAGCCCUUUGACAAUGCUGUUAGUCAGAGCAGGGCUGAUACAGUGUGUCUGUGAGGCUGAGAGAUACAUUUGGACCAAAGGUUCCACAUCCAACCACAGACUGAAAAUAUUCAGGACAGAAAAAAUGUCACAUUGCCACUAAUGUGGACUAUGUAGUUAGGCCUUGAUGGCUACAUCUGUAGUGAAUAUGUACACUUUUUUGUCAUUGUCCCCUAAACAAUUCAGUUUCACAACUGUUUACAUAGCAUUAAUACUAUAUUUGGUAUUAUAAGUAAUCUAGAGAUGAUUUAACAUACAUGGGAGACCGCGUAGGGUAAAUGCAAAGAUGUCACUUUGCAUAAGGGACUUGAGCAUCUGCAGAUUUUGAUAUCCAUGGGUGUGGGUCCUGGAACCAAUCCUAGCAGAUACCAAGAGAUGACUAUAAUAAUAACUUUAAAAACAGGUUGCCAAGCUCUGGUUUAGAGUCCAGAUUCUGGAGUCUGAAGGCUAAGUGCACCUCACCCCAUGGCCAGUUCUCCUUACUAAAGUGGGGGCAGCACCAAGAGCACCUGUCUUACCAGUCAAAAUACGUAAAGUGCUGAGCGCAGAACCUGGCGCCAGUGUUUGCUACUAUUAUUAGCAUUGGCAACUCGCCUGGGGCCACCCAGCCAGAUCCUGGAGAAGCCAAUUCCUUGAUGCCAGUUCUUAAAGGGGAACUGACGUCUAGGUCCCCCGUCACUGGGGAAACUGGGGCCUCAGAAACACAACUGUCUCCAAAGCCUGUUUAUAAAUGCAGCUCCUGGUUGCCCUGCUCCCCUUUCAUCUCCAGGCCAGGGUGCUGCUGGGUAGGUACCUGUCAUGGGGUGUCAGGAAAUGUUCUUGCCCAAACCGGAAUAACCUGAAAGCAGCCAGGUCAGCCCCGGCAGGUUCUAGGUCUGCCAGCAGGUGUCCUGAGAAGCAGGCAGAGCCAGGGAGAGCAGUGGUGUCCUCCUACCAGGUCUCUUACCCUGAGGUCCACCUGGGGAUACACUGCAGGGGGGUGGUGCCUGCCCCCAGCCACCUCCAUUUUUCCCUGGAACACAGAUCCCCAAUGUCCCUACAGACACACUUGGCUAUCUUUACCCAUGGCUCACCUUAUCUCAGUCACCUAGACCCAAAGAGCUCACAGCCUUCUUCCUAGUGUUUGAGACCCAGGCCUUCCUCUUGGGAAGCAUGUGUUAUCUUUGGAACUUGCACAUAGUAGGUAUGCUACACAGUCUCCUGAUGAGUCCUCCAGGAGUUCAGAUCUGUCUUCAGCAUUUGGUUGACAUUCUUCCUUCAUGCAGGCCUGGUCUCCACGGACUGGCUGCCUAUUUGUCCUCUCUGCUAUCUGGUGUAGUCACUGUGCCUGUCUUCCAUGGGGAGGAUAUGGCCCCAUUCCCUGGACGACUCGGGGGCAGGACAGGGCCCUUCUUUAUAUGAGGCAUUAAAAUCCACACAGCACUUCACUGUGCACUGCACUGACUCUGUUCUACAUCUGCUAAAGACAAAUUCCAUUCACACCUCAAUACACACUCAUAAAGCACCUACUAUGGGCCAGGCAUGUGCUGGGUGUGGAAGAGGAAGGACUCAUGGGAUGGUCCCUGUUAGGCCUGACACCCUGGUGUAGAGCCUUCACUUGACAUCACAGGCUACUUGUAUCCCAGGGCUCCUUACUCCAGCAGAGAUCCCUUUUUUGGGGACCCUGGCAAUCUCAGUUAAGGUCCCACUCACUUUCCCCCCUGUGAACCUGGGGGACCCAAAGCAUGCAGCCUGGGUGCUUUCUUCUAUGCUCUGAAACAGGCAGGCUCCUCCUGGAGAGUCCAGGCCUGUCCUCCUCCAGGCCCGCUUCCCUGUCCUAGUCUCAGUUAACUCUGUUCCACUCACACCUCUUCCCUCUCAGGUGUCUUCUGGAGGCCCUCUCUCCAGCCUCUGAAUAGGGGCUCAAGCCCCGCAUCUUCCAUCGCCUCCUUGACCCCUGCUUUAUGACAUCUGUCUCCUCCCCCAGAGCUAAGCUGUCCUCUGGAAGGUUGCUACCCUUUGCCAAACACGGAGGCUUUGAGUCAGGCCUCCUUCUGACCUGGCAGCAGCUUUACUGACCUUCUCUCUGCUCACAGACUACUCUGCAUCACCCCUUCCCUUGGCCCAUUUGGCCCCCUGCAUCCCUGUGGCCUGGGGCUCAGACCUUGCCUCUAGGCAAUGGUAUUCUGCCUGGCAAACCAGGAUGGCAUCAUUCUCGUAGGAAUUCAGAGAGAUGACAACAUAAUCCUUGGUGCUACAGUAAACGGGUGAUUACCAGAGCAAGUUGGUGGCUACAAUGUAAAUUUCAGAUGGGGUUCAAAGGGAGGUGUGAUUAAUUCUACAUGGGGAGUCAAAAGGGGAAGUGUUGCCAGAGCAGGGUUUUGUAGGUUGUGGAGGAGUUCAGCAGGUAAUCUAACAAGAGAAGAACAACGGAAAAGUAUGGAGAUGUGAUGAAGCACAGGGGCUUCAACACACCCUGAAGCUGGGGGAAGUGGCACAUGCUUGUAAUACCAGCUACUUAGCAGGAUCCUCAGCUGAGGCAGGAAGAUUGCAAGUUCGAGGCCAGCCUGGACAACUCAGAACUCUGUCUGAAAAUAAAAAAUAAAAAGGGCUAGGGCCAGGCACAAUAGUACAUGCCUGUAAUCCCAGUAACUCAGGAGGCUGAGGAGGAUCACAGGUUGGAGGUCAGCCUGAGCAACUUAUGAGGCCCUCAACAACUUAAUGAGACCCGUCUCCAAAUAAAAAAUAAAAAGGGCUGGAGAUAUAGCUCAGUGGUAUGGCACCUGGGUUCAACCCCCAUUACUGUAAAACAAAGAAUCAAACCCAAAUUCUGAAAGCAGCCAGGGCCACAUGGACCACUCAGACCACAGCAAGAGGUGGCUCCUGGGGUUGUAUAGGUGGUGGUCCUGCAUGUGGUCCUCUCUACCGACCCUGCAUCCAGGAGCAGAGCCAGUGCUUGAGAGAGAAAGUAAAUGUGCUCAGCAGGCACAGGCACACGGCUGAUCGACAAGCUCGUCAGCUCUCAGAGGAGGUUCACCCCUACAUGCUUACAGAAAAAUAAAGAGGCCCACAAGGAAUGAACCAAACUGAUCUGUUGAUAAUUUAGGAUCUGUUGAUAAUUUAGGAAAACCUAAGUGAAUGCACUCUGUAGCUCCCAGGUGACAUUUAAAAAUCCCUCUGACUAAUGCGUAGGACAUUUAUAUCCUUCUCACGAAGGAUGUGUCAACACAGCUUGCCAACCCAGAGGUGGCAGGUCAUUUAUUUGGCAAGGGCCACCUAGCUUAGGCAUCCAUCCAAUGUGGGGCCAGGGGGUGGGGGGCACCCCUGAUAACUGCCAUGCCUGUGUCAAUUGCCUUCUUCCUCACACUCAGCCCCUGCAUGAUAUUCUCACCACCUCUUCCAAGGCCCCCAGGUUCCACAGAGGGAGGUUUUGGGGAUCUGUGUCCAUCUCUGACCAGCAUCUCAAUAUCAACCCCAUCUCAGGUCAGGUAGAAAUGGAGUCGUCCCAGGACCACAUCUGUCUCCUGCAGCCAACUCUCCUGGCUCAGUGAUUCAGGGCUCCUCAUUUGUGAUUAACAGGUGCCUCCUGUCUGGUGGAGACUCUUUCUCAACACCAUGUCCCCUCAAAGCAGGGGCAAAAGGAAAACAGCAUCUUGCACAGGGAGGUUUUGCAUGCUUAGAGCAACAAGCAACAGAGAAAACACACUCACAUUCUCCCUUCCUCAAAUAAACCGACUUCUCCACUCGUCCCUUCCCUUGAAAACAGAAGCACUAUUCAAAAGGAAAAAGAAGAAAGGAAUUAAAAAAAAGAACUGAAUAGGAGAAGAAGAAGAAAAGGGAGGAAAAAAGAGAGCGAG